GAAGCGGCGCUCAAGAUGCUGCGCCGCGAGGCCCGCCUGCGCCGCGAGUACCUGUACCGCAAGGCCCGGGAGGAGGCGCAGCGCUCAGCCCAGGAGAGGAAGGAGGGCUGAGGCACGCGCUCGAAGAAAACCGCCUGAUUCCCACUGAGUUACGCCGAGAGGCUCUGGCCUUACAGGGGUCCCUGGAGUUUGAUGAUGCAGGAGGUGAAGGUGUGACCAGCCACGUGGAUGAUGAAUACUGACGGGCAGGAGUCGAGGAUCCCAAGGUUAUCAUCACUACCUCCCGAGACCCCAGUUCCCGCCUCAAGAUGUUUGCAAAGGAGCUGAAGCUGGUGUUCCCAGGCGCCCAGCGAAUGAACCGAGGUUGACAUGAAGUGGGGGCACUGGUGCGAGCCUGCAAAGCCAACGGUGUCACCGAUCUGCUGGUUGUUCAUGAGCAUCGGGGCACACCUGUGGGGCUCAUCGUCAGCCACCUGCCCUUUGGCCCUACUGCCUACUUCACGCUGUGCAACGUGGUCAUGCGGCAUGACAUCCCAGACCUGGGCACCAUGUCGGAGGCCAAGCCCCACCUCAUCACACAUGGCUUCUCUUCCCGCCUGGGCAAGCAGAUCUCUGACAUCCUCCGAUACCUAUUUCCCGUGCCCAAAGAUGACAGCCACCGGGUCAUCACCUUCGCAAACCAGGACGACUACAUAUCAUUCCGGCACCACGUGUACAAGAAGAUAGACCACCGCAACGUGGAGCUCACUGAGGUCGGGCCCCGCUUUGAGCUGAAGCUGUACAUGAUCCGCCUGGGCACGCUGGAGCAGGAGGCCACAGCAGACGUGGAGUGGCGCUGGCACCCUUACACCAAUACCGCACGCAAGAGGGUCUUCCUGAGCGCCGAGUGAGCCCACUCACCACUCAGUCAGGACGAGGACUUGGAACUCAGGAUGGGGCUGUCACAGACAGGCCUGCCGAGCUGGGAUGUGGAACUGUGGUGGGUGGAGAGGUCUGAAUAAACCAUCUGUGUCACGGC